AUUGAUAGGGGUGGAAAUCAGACGGAUCGGAUCGAAAACAGGCCUUUCGGAAAAUUUCCGAUUUUUUUCGGAACUCAAAUCUCAUUUCCGAUUCCGAUUCCGAAAAUUUCGGAAUAAAAAACUGAGUUCCGAUUCCGAUUUAUUCGGAAAUUUCGGAAUUUCGGAUUUUUUCGGAAUUCCAAAAUUUUCUUAAAAAUAAAAGGAAGAACAAGAAAAAUAAUCGAAAACACCAAAAACGAGCAACAAUCGACGAUAAAUCUCUCCACACAAUGCAAAACAUUCAAGAAUUUGUAUUCCCUUCAUAUCAAUGGACAUAUUCCACCAAAAUAAUUCCUAAAAUAACAGAAUAUUUGAGGUUUCAAAAAUAAAAAAAUGUUAUUAUUUGCAGAUCGAUGAGCCCGGCGAGUAGCUUACUGGCCAACACCCCUUUGACUUUUGGGUGCUCGGAGAAAUGAGUGUCGUCCUUUGCAAUGGAGUUGAAUAUUGGAGAAGAAGAGAAAACUGAAAAGAAACACAGCAGAAGCGGCGCAAUAAAGAAGAAAAGAGAUUAGGUUUUCUUUGAAUUAGGG
rnacentral:lncRNA from 1 species